rnacentral:rRNA from 1 species
CAGUAGCCGCGGUAAAACGAAGGGUGCAAGCGUUAAUCGGAAUUACUGGGCGUAAAGCGUGCGUAGGCGGUGAGUUAAGUCUGCUGUGAAAUCCCCGGGCUCAACCUGGGAAUGGCAGUGGAUACUGGCUCGCUAGAGUGUGUCAGAGGAUGGUGGAAUUCCCGGUGUAGCGGUGAAAUGCGUAGAGAUCGGGAGGAACAUCAGUGGCGAAGGCGGCCAUCUGGGACAACACUGACGCUGAGGCACGAAAGCGUGGGGAGCAAACAGGAUUAGAUACCCCCGUAGUCCCUGUCUCUUAUAC